UACAGAGGUCUCAAGCGUUGUUCGGAUUCAUUGGGCGUAAAGGGUGCGUAGGUGGCGCUGUAAGUCGGGUGUGAAAUCUCGGAGCUUAACUCCGAAACUGCAUUCGAUACUGCCGUGCUUGAGGACUGGAGAGGAGACUGGAAUUUACGGUGUAGCGGUGAAAUGCGUAGAUAUCGUAAGGAAGACCAGUGGCGAAGGCGGGUCUCUGGACAGUUCCUGACACUGAGGCACGAAGGCCAGGGGAGCAAACGGG
rnacentral:rRNA from 1 species